rnacentral:rRNA from 1 species
CCUACGGGCGGCUGCAGUCGAGAAUCAUUCACAAUGGGGGAAACCCUGAUGGUGCGACGCCGCGUGGGGGAAUGAAGGUCUUCGGAUUGUAACCCCCUGUUAUGUGGGAGUAAAUUAAAAAGAUAGUACCACAAUAGGAAGAGACGGCUAACUCUGUGCCAGCCGCCGCGCUAAUACGGAGGGGCCAAGCGAUGUUCGGACUCCCUGGGGGUAAAGGGUGCGUAGGCUGUUUAGUAAGUAGUGUGUGAAAGGCGCGGGCUCAAACCGCGGACGGCACAUGAUACUGGGGGACGAGAGUAAUGGAGGGGAGACCGGAAUUCUCGGUGUAGCAGUGAAAUGCGUAGAUAUCGGGAGGAACACUCGUGGCGAAGGCGGGUUCCUGGACAUUAACUGACGCUGAGGCACGAAGGCCAGGGGAGCGAAAGGGAUUAGAUACCCGAGUAGUC